GCUGCUUCAACUUUUGCCUCAGAUCAAAUGCACUAUCUGUUCUUAUCAGUUUACUAUCUGAUAUGUCCUCUGUUUGAGGACAAAACUGCAAAACAAAACAAAACAGUGGUUCUCAACCUUCGGGUCGGCAACCCACAGGUUGAGAACUGCUGCAUUAAAAGGAUUUUUGGAGCAGGGAGUUGAAAUAGGAGCUUGUUCUGUCCACAUCACACAUCGUACCUGCAGUACCUCAAGGGAUGGUACACCCCAC
rnacentral:snRNA from 1 species